AUGAAAAGAGGAGAGAUGGACGGAGAAAGAGAAGAGAAAUGGACAGAGGAAGAGAAGAGAGAUGGACGGAGGAAAAGAGGAGAAAUGAAUGGAGGAAGAGAAAGAGAUGGACGGAGGAAGAGAAGGAGAUGGACGGAGGAAGAGAAGAGAGAGAGAGAGAUGGACGGAGGAAGAGAAGAGAGAGAUGGACGGAGGAAAAGAGGAGAAAUGAAUGGAGGAAGAGAAGAGAGAGAGAGAGAUGGACGGAGGAAAAGAAGAGAGAUGGACAGAGGAAGAGAAAGAGAUGGACAGAGGAAGAGAAGAGAGAUGGACGGAGGAAGAGAAAGAGAUGGACGGAGGAAGAGAAGGGAGAGAGAGAGAUGGACAGAGGAAGAGAAGAGAGAGAGAUUGACAGAGGAAGAGAAGAGAGAUGGACAGAGGAAGAGAAAGAGAUGGACGGAGGAAGAGAAGGAGAUGGACGGAGGAAGAGAAAGAGAUGGACGGAGGAAGAGAAGGAGAUGGACGGAGGAAGAGAAGAGAGAGAGAGAGAUGGACGGAGGAAGAGAAGAGAGAGAGAGAGAUGGACGGAGGAAAAGAAGAGAGAUGGACAGAGGAAGAGAAAGAGAUGGACGGAGGAAGAGAGGAGAGAUGGACGGAGGAAGAGAAGGGAGAGAGAGAUGGACGGAGGAAGAGAAGGGAGAUGGACGGAGGAAGAGAGAGAGAGAGAUUGACAGAGGAAAAGGAAGUAGUCUAAGAGUGACCAAAAGUGUGAAAGCUACAAGAUCAGAUGUGUUUAGCGUAUUGAGUUUGACUUGGAGGCAACAUUUGUACGUCAGUGUGUUUUUCCAGCAUACACACACACUGAACCACACUAUGCCACACACACACACACACACACACACACUCUCACACACACACACACACACAAACACAAAUCUGCUCUCUCACACACACACACACACAGCCCUGCUCAUUCACACACACAGACAAACCUGCUCACUCACACAGUGUAGCUUUCAUAACCUUUACCUGCAGACAGGUACACAGCACAGGGUGUAG
rnacentral:lncRNA from 1 species